GGCUGCAUUUCAUGAGGCUGCAGCUGACAAGAAGCUUCAAGUGGAAAUUUUCCUGGACCUGAUCAAGCGCAUAACCUGGUUGCUGUGUUGGCUAUAGCCCUGCGUGUGUACUCCUUGCAACUCAUUCUUUCAGACUCACAGCCUAGGUUAAUAUCAGAGAUGCACAUUACCUGGUGAAUCUGUAUGUGAACCUAGUUGAGCCCCAGAAAGGCAGUGCAACAACAGAAGCCUCUAGCAGGAAGAAGGCCCUGCUGGACAAGCAGCCGGAGUGAGAAUCAAAACAGGAUCACAGGGACAGACUCUCCACAAUCCAUGUGA